rnacentral:rRNA from 1 species
UACGUAGGGUGCAAGCGUUAAUCGGAAUUACUGGGCGUAAAGCGUGCGCAGGCGGUUGGGCAAGACCGAUGUGAAAUCCCCGGGCUUAACCUGGGAAUGGCAUUGGUGACUGUACGGCUAGAGUGUGUCAGAGGGGGGUAGAAUUCCACGUGUAGCAGUGAAAUGCGUAGAGAUGUGGAGGAAUACCGAUGGCGAAGGCAGCCCCCUGGGAUAACACUGACGCUCAUGCACGAAAGCGUGGGGAGCAAACAGG